CCCUGUGAUGACUGGUUGCUCACCAGCUGUGGCAAAUGAUGAGGUGCUUCAGCAGGGGCCCUUUGGCCAUGCUGCCCAGGGCAAGAUCAGUCCUGCUGACCAGCAAGGUGGGUCCUUGCCACUUUUAUAUGGCUGAUGGUGUUGUGCAGCUAUAUCCACCAUGGGUGCUGAGAAGGACAGAAACAGUUUUGUGGAUGGAGCUUCAUGGAUCUUGGCUAGAAAUUGCUGCCCUUCUGAGGGAUGGCACUUCAUGGGACUGCCCAGCCUUUGUCUGCCCCUCAGUCAUCUUUUUCCAUCCCUCUGCUAUUCCCCUCCUGAGCCCUGAUCCAGCCUGUUGCUGAACUGAACAGACUUGAGCAUGCACAAGGCAGACUGGGUGGAGCGAGACCUAAAAUAUGUAUGCAAGGUCCUGAUCUUCACAGGCCAUAGCACCUGCAGCUUCCACAGACCAGUGGGAAACCCAAAUACUAGUCUCCUUGGAACACCAGCACGGCUCCUCUGGCUCCCUGAAGGCAACAUGGAAGAAAUGUAACUCAUCCAUUUGAGAGACAGGGAUCUCAUCUCAGUGAGAUGUAGCUGUGGAAAACUACUCACAGGCUUUUAGUGUUGUUUUGAGAAGGAGGUGGGGGUAACUCUUGUAUUUUGGCUGUGCUGUCCCACUAUCAAAAUUAAAAGAUGAUCAGAGCCUUCACUUGGGCUUCAGCCCCUGGUCAUGCUGUUACAUUCUGUAUGUUUGGCAGCCAGGGCUGUGGAGGAUAAAGAGCUGCCAUGUAGGACAAAAGAUGUCCUCCUCUUUUAUGUAUGUAUUUUCCUCAAAUGCCACUGUACAAGUGAGUUUGGGUCUGUGUUUUCCUGUUAUUCAGACAAUUUCAGAGGUGGUAGCAGCACAAUUUCAGUGCACUAUUUGAUGCUCCUGGGUCUCUAUAUAUGCUACCUGCUUCUCUCUGCUGUUGGCAGAAGUGUUAGGCUCAUCAUGGGGGAAAAAAAAUCUUGUUCUGACUUAACUGGAAUGAUAUGGUUGUCCCAACCUGGCUACCUGGAAAACUGGCACUUGAAACCUGCUUUAUCUAAACAAAAAAGCAAAUGUUUCAGGUGUUGGAAGACAGUGAAUGGGGAUGAGUCUUGAGCUGGAAAAGGCCCAGUUCCUCAGAGACCAGAAGUGUUUUCUGUUUGGUUUGUGCUGAAUAGCUCAGAGGUCUGGUAACUAAUGAGCCACUCAAAUGUGGUCCUUGCUAGUAAUGUAGCAUCAGCUGUUUUGGAGCUGGCUGCUCAGUGAAGUAAGCCAGACCAUUUGAUUUCUGUCCCAAAUGCAUGUGUUCGCAUCAGGAAGCAAAACUGGGGCCUGUGUUAACUGGCACCAUGGCUGGCCAUCUGUGCACAAAGGGAGUGUUGGCCAGCCCUGAGCACAUGAUGGGCUGGAGAGAAGGUGCCCUGGGCUGGAGAAGCUGCCUCUGUUGCUGAUGGGGCUGGAAGUGGCGGAGAACCUGGGCUGGAGCUGAAUUUGCUUUAAUGGUGCUUGAGGCUCACUGGAGAUGUGGUUUGUCCUGUGAGAAGUGAAGCCCUUGCUUGGCUGGGAGACACUGGGAAGGGUCGAGCACCCUCCUGCUAGGGCAGUAUGUAACUGCUGGCUGAAACCCAUACCCCCUCCACCUGCAGGAAACGCUGGUUGUUCAGGAGAUACUUGGUCCUGUCCAGUGUGCCUGGUCCGAGAUGAGUUUUUUUGGGCUAAUGGUGUCUGUUCAAGAGGGCUACAGCUCUGGUUCAUCUGCCAGGGCAGCUCUGCUGUCCCCACCUGAGUCUGUGCUAAAGAAGCACUUGUAUCACAUAAGGUGGCAGGGAAUAAGGCUGGUCAUUAUUCUCUCCUUACCUUCAUUUCAGGUGAAGUUAAUUGCAAAUGAGGUGUUUACUAACAGGAGGUGAGAACACCAUCUGCAAUUACAUCUAUCAAGUACAGAGAGGAGCUUUAGAGCUGAGCAAAUAAUGUUUGUGGCUUACCUAUUCCCAGGGAAUGCAUGGCGCUGCUUCUGUAUGUGCAACUCUGCCUGCUCUCCUGAAAUCCAUUUGGGAAGAUAAGUGAAUCAUUUCUCAUCAGGCUACAAGAAUUUCAAAACUUCUCUCCAGGGUUCCUUCGACGCUCCUCUGCGCACAUCUUAAUUUCCUGUAACUGUCCUAAUCCACUUCCCAUAGGUACCCAUGGGAGCCUUGUUAUCGACCUCAACUGGAAAAAGGAUUGCUUCUCUCCCUCAUUAUAACUGCUAUUAACUGGCACAGUUCUUCUCUGCCUCCAUCACAGGGGCCAUUAACAUAAUAGGUCAGAGAAAGCUAGCUCUGCCUGUGCCCCUCAAAGGGGUCCCUGCAGAGCUGGGAAGAAGAGCGCUGGCUGUGUGAGAGGAGCUGCUCUUGCCACCUGGGUGUGCUGAGACUGGGGGCUGCCAGCCAGGGUGCCCUUUGCCAGUGUUUACACCUGCAUGCCUUGAAGAGUGAUAUGGGUGACAGCCUGGAAACCUCCCCAGACUGAAGCUCUUUAAUUGCCUGUUCCUAGAGCAGCCUCUGGGGUGAAGCAGUGCUUGUUACCUGCCUGGCCCCCGUAGGCUCCCCGCAGAGCUGGUGGUCAAUGGAGAUGCUGAAUUGCCCUUGGAGCUCACCUUUCUCUGUUCCUUUCCCAGAGUAAUGAGAUCUGGAGAGAGCUGCCAGUUUAAACAGCACCCUCCCUUCUGCAGUGGUGUGGCAGAGCACGCUGAUGGCUUAUCUUCUGCUGCAGCGCUGGGAAUGCCCGGAUUUCAGGCUGGAGCUGAAGCAGAGGGCCUGGGAGCAGAUUUAGUGAAGAACAUACAAGGACAGAGUCCCAUGUGCUUGUUCUAGGAGUAAGGUUCAGGUUCUGUAGGAAGAUCCUAGGAUAGCUGGGGCACCUGAAAACCCCAUAAAGUUCAAGCUACCUCAACUAGAUGCAUAUAGGGCAAGAGGCUGGUGUAGCACAAGACUGCCAGGGCCUUGAACUGACCACUGGAAGGUGUUUCCAUGGAGGGCACGAUCAUCUGAGACCCUUUCCUCUGUGACCCCAGAGGCAGGAUGAUGCUGGUUCAUCUAUGUCCAGGCUCUAAUGGUUGCAAUACCUUGAGCUAGUUCUUGCAUGAAGCAUUUGGGGUGGGACGGCAGGGCAAAGACAUGGUCCUUCUGCCCUGUGUAGCCUGCCAGCUACAGCUGCUUGUGUAACAGCAGUGAUCCCAGCAUCCCAGUCUUGCUGGGGUGUCCAAAGGUGGUGCUCAGCCUGAGAGGAGCAUGAUGCCUCUGCUAGGUAUGGGACAGGUCUGCAGUUAAAAUCUGGCUGGUGUUACAGAUCUCUUGGCCUGACAUCUGCCCUAAAUGUCUUCCUGAGGCCAUGCAGACUAAAGGGGGUGUGGAGGGAGAGAUAAGCAAAAUAAUCUUCUGCACUGGGCUGCAUGUAGUCUUCAAUCCCAACAGAUCAAAAACAUCAAAAUUCAGUCUGGAUAAAGGAGGGCUUGGUGAUGCUCUUUGAGGGGAGGGGAACCAUAAAAUGGGAUUAGGAAAGAACUUGUACUUCAGCAUAUGGCCAAUAUGCAGAGCUUGCUAAGAGUCAUAAAGAUCUGUAAUUAUAUUUGUAUGGAUUAUACUAAUCCAUGAACUUGUAACCCAUGGGACAUGGCCAUGUUGGGCUAGAGAAACACAGAAUUAUCAGGCACUGCUUUGUGAUGUGCUAGUACAUGUCUCGGGGCUGGCUUACUUACUGGAAAGAUCCUACCAGGGCUACAGUGCUGGUUGAUAGUGUGACUUACUUUUUUUGAGCAUAGCCUCAAAUGUAUAUUUGGGAGGCAGGAAAACCCUACCACCUCUUAAAUUUGCCUUAAGGAACAGAAUAAUCAGAAAUACAUUUGAAUACAAUCCAGGAAAUCACUUGUGUGUUUUCACUUCCUUGCUUGCGUUUACAGAACCAACAGCCCAGCAAUCUUAAAAUUGCAGAUCAUGGCUUGCUUUGCUCACCUCUUGAGAAUAAACUCACCCCAGCUUCAUUUGUUUAACUUCAAUAUUUCUCAUUCUCUGGCUUAACUGGAGCUUCAGGUUCCUGGUCCCCACAGAGAGCGGCUCUGUUCAGGCAGCUCGCUGGUGUUUCACUGUCUGAAUCCUAGCUUCCCUCUUCGCUUUGGCAAUUGCUCAGAUAUCCCUGACAGCAGCCUUUUAAAAUGUUUUAUCUGGUGUUGUUUGCUAAUGCCUCUCCUGUGACAGGGGGAACAUGAUUUCGCAUGCUCAUCCAAGACUUUAAACACCACAGAGAUUAGUGAGGGAUGCGGGUACUCAAACACUCACCUGCAGCCUGUACUCAGAGGAGGCUGUGGCCACAUUGGAAUACCUCACAGGCUGUUAAAUAAGACUGAAAGGUAAACUAUUGACAUCACAGAAUCAGGACAUGGAUUAAAUUAACUGACCUCUUCCAAUAAGCUGUUGAGCAUCCUCUGUAUUUCCUGAAAUUGGGGGUGUUGGAAGAGCUUGUGGUAUGAACAUCUCACACCUGUAGCACUGAACACUUUAUGCCUACCUGGGGAACAGCAGGGAGAUUACAACAGCUGAUAGUCCAGCCAGAUAGAGCUGAUGUCAUGUCUUGUGUCGUAGAGCUUGCCUUACUAAUGUUGAUUGAAGGCAGCGGGUUCUGGGACCAUAACUUUUUGGGCUCUGGACCUAUUCCGUCUGCUUUCCUUAAAGAUGUACAAAACCACACAAGACAGAUGAGUUUUGCUGUGGAGAAACCCACCUUCUGGAGUCUUUCUGAAAAAUCUUUGUAGGAAUCCAGGUUGGGGGGGAGAAAAUAUGUAAAAUGUACCUUCCAGCUACCAGGGUGGGGAGAUAGUAAUACACUCAGGGAGAGGGAGCAGGUCUCCCAAAUGUCAUUUGGAAAGAGUUAGAACAGCAACAAGUGAACUUCUGAACUUCAGUGUUCUUGGAAACUGCUAACCUGAUGUGAAUCUGCUUCCUGGCAUGUAAAGCAAACUAAACUAAAAAAUGCUUCAGCCUGUGGUGUCGCCAUCUGCUAUGGGAUGGAAGCAUCUUCAUAGUGGAUAAUAAAGUAUUUUUUCCUGUGCUA